AUUGAACGCUGGCGGCAUGCCUUACACAUGCAAGUCGAACGGCAGCACGGGAGCAAUCCUGGUGGCGAGUGGCGAACGGGUGAGUAAUGUAUCGGAACGUGCCCAGUCGUGGGGGAUAACGUAGCGGAAGCUACGCUAAUACCGCAUACGAUCUAUGGAUGAAAGCGGGGGACCGUAAGGCCUCGCGCGAUUGGAGCGGCCGAUAUCAGAUUAGGUAGUUGGUGGGGUAAAGGCCUACCAAGCCGACGAUCUGUAGCUGGUCUGAGAGGACGACCAGCCACACUGGGAAUGAGACACGGCCCAGCCUGCAAGGGGAGGCAGCAGUGGGGAAUUUUGAACAAUGGGCGCAAGCCUGAUCCAGCAAUGCCGCGUGCAGGAUGAAGGCCUUCAGGUUGUAAACUGCUUUUGUACGGAGCGAAAAGGCUCUCUCUAAUACAGGGGGCUCAUGACGGUACCGUAAGAAUAAGCACCGGCUAACUACGUGCCAGCCGCCGCAGUAA
rnacentral:rRNA from 1 species